ACUGAGUCUCGCUCUUUCUCCCAGGCUGGAGUGCUGGGGCGGGAUCUCGACUCACUGCAAGCUCCGCCUCCCGGGUUCACGCCAUUCUCCUGCCUCAGCCUCCUCCCGAGUAGCUGGGACUACAGGCGCCCGCUACGACGCCCGGCUAAUUUUUUGUAUUUUCAGUAGAGACGGGGUUUCACCAUGUUGGCCAGGAUGGUCUCGAUUUCUUGACCUCGUGAUCCACCCGCCUCGACCUCCCAAAGUGCUGGGAUUACAAGCGUGAGCCACCGUGCCCGGCCGAGAGAGUAAAUUUCAACUGUGCUAUUUUAUCUACAUUACCUACUUCUUUCUAGUGCACUAGUUAGAUCACUGGUUUCUGUCAUAUCAUUAUUGUUUCACAUUGUGUGGUCCACAUGGAAUUAGGUGACUAGCUUUAAUCACAGCUGUCAAUACUUCCCAUCAACUUGUAUCCUGAUAUUAUUAAUGAAUGACAUUUCAGCAUCCUAUGAUACAGUAUCUAUUACUGGUUCUUGAAAUUCCUGCUUUUCUAAGUUUACCUGUUGUUUGUUCUAAAACAUACUGUGGCUCUGAGAAGCCACAUACAACUUUAUUUUUGAGGGUUUUUUUGUAGGUGCUUCCUCUCAUUUAAAGAUUUCAGAACAGAGGGAUGCUUUAAAUGCUAUUUUAUUGAUACAAAACACUAAGAGGCCUCCGAUUUUGGUAUCUAUUAAUUAUGUAUUUUAAGAAGAAGAUGCAGUUAACUAAUCCAUUAUUGCUGACAUUUUCAUCUGGGUGCAACCUGAUUUUCGUCAUGUAGACCUUAUUGAAGUUUAGAGAGAUGGUUCUUCUUCUCCCCAGUUUCUUACAAAAUUUACUUUAUUUAGCAGAAGGAACCAUUUUUUUUACUUUUUCUGUUUUAUAGUAUAUUUCAGAAAACAGAAUAAUUAUUUUACAGAAUCUAACUAUAUAUGUGCUAUUGUAGUUUCCUUUUACACAUAACAUUACAAUAAACUUAUUGAGAGGAGAUAAUUUAUUGUCCAUGGAUAGAAUUGCUGUUUCUAAAUCUAAAACCUUAUUUCUUUUACCAAAUAUAAUUUGACUUGUUGCUAUUUUGCUGCACUUACAUGGGCAAAGAAACUGCAUUAUUUAAUUUCAAUAAAUUAUUGCAUACUUGUAUGUCUACAAAUAUACAAGUAUUAUACAUUUUAUAUAACUGUCCAUGCAUAAUUGAAUAACAGCAUUAAAAAGAGGAUAUUAUUUAUGCCAUUCCACCACUUCUGAAAAGGAUUGCAAAAAAACUUUAUAGUGGCAAAACAAAUAACUCAUUAAUUUUUUUAUGUGGUUUUUAAAUUUUUUUAAUUUUUAUUAUACUUUAAGUUCUGGGUUACAUGUGCAGAACGUGCAGUUUUGUUACAUACGUAUACACGAGCCCUGGUGUUUUGCUGAACCCAUCCACCCAUCAUCUACAUUAGAUAUUUCUCCUAAUGUUAUCCCUCCCGUAGACCCCCUUCCCCCGACAGGCCCCAGUAUAUGAUGUUCCCCUCCCUGUGUCCACAUAUUCUCAUUGUUCAACUCCCACUUAUGAGUGAGAACAUGCAAUGUUU
rnacentral:lncRNA from 10 species